AGUGAACGCUGGCGGUAGGCCUAACACAUGCAAGUCGAACGGCAGCACAGUAAGAGCUUGCUCUUACGGGUGGCGAGUGGCGGACGGGUGAGGAAUACAUCGGAAUCUACUUUUUCGUGGGGGAUAACGUAGGGAAACUUACGCUAAUACCGCAUACGACCUACGGGUGAAAGCAGGGGAUCUUCGGACCUUGCGCGAUUGAAUGAGCCGAUGUCGGAUUAGCUAGUUGGCGGGGUAAAGGCCCACCAAGGCGACGAUCCGUAGCUGGUCUGAGAGGAUGAUCCGCCACACUAGAACUGGGACACCGGCCAUGCGCCUACGGGAGGGAGCAGUGGGGAAUAUUGGACAAUGGGCGCAAGCCUGAUCCAGCCAUACCGCGUGGGUGAAGAAGGCCUUCGGGUUGUAAAGCCCUUUUGUUGGGAAAGAAAAGCAGCAGGUUAAUACCCCGCUGUUCUGACGGUACCCAAAGAAUAAGCACCGGCUAACUUCGUG
rnacentral:rRNA from 1 species